ensembl:lncRNA
CAGAAUUGUCCUGAUCACACACAACAAAUAAGAGAAGAAAGGAAACCAUGGCAACUAUGUUAAUCCCUAAGCCCAAAGGUUUUCACAGCAGAACACCAGAGGAACACCGUCUGAACAUCACAGCUUCUGUACAGCAGCGGUCCGUGAGUCGUUUGGUACCGGGCCAUGAGAGUUGAGGCUCCGGUGUGAAAUUUAUGGUUUUCAGGGUUUUAUCGUUAACUCGGUUUCCCUGAGUCUUUCCCUUGUUGUAGUUGUGUCUUAUUUUGAAAGAAAUAUUUACACGUUACCAUAGCGACCAGAGAGCAUUAAGCGGCAGAGAGGAGGAUGUUACUGUCAAUAUUGGCGCAUUUUCAGGAGGACGCUGCUAAUAAAGUUACACAGUUACACAGUACAUUCACGUUUAUUAUUAUAUUUACAAAAUACCACAGUUUUUGUCUUGGUCGGAUCAUUUUAUGUGGUUGUAUUUAUCCGCGAUACCUUAAAGGCCGCUCCGUGUCUGACAUAAACCGGUCUGUGGCGCAAAAAAGUUGGGGACCGCUGCUGUACAGCAUGAGGGUUAAUAGGACCGCACUCAUAUGAAUAUGAUGCGUAAAUUGAUUUAUUCUUGUACAUCCACGCCGUAGCGGCCCAAUUCUUCACCCCAGUGAAGAGGUGAUCGUUUUCUCCUCGUUUUAAUAAAUUAAGCCGUUUGGUCUUUGUUCCCCACAACAUAUCACCAAUUCGAAAAAAUCAAAAUUAGCUGUAUGUAAGCGGCAAUACAUGACAAAUCGCGGGACCCCCGAUACAAGCUGGUUUAUGGUUAUUUUAAAGAAAAGAAACAUGUCUAUGCAGAUGCCCAAAGCUUAACAAAAUGACCGCUAUAACAAUUUAACUUUUGUACAACCAGAUUUUCAUAUACUUACAUUUGAAAGUGUUUUCCUCUCCUGCUUCGACCACCAUCGUUAUCAGAAACAAAUCUCCUCUAUGACCCGCAAUGAAUCCUGGGAUAUAGUAGGACAUGAAGGAUACAUCAGACCAUCCUUAGAAUUCAGGGCAAAGUAGGACGCAUUUGUCGCCACAUUUUGAGCUUUGAAUUCAGACACCCUUCGUCGCGUCGCCGUGACGUCAUUGCCUCCAAAUAUGGCAUCGAAGCAUCCUUCCUCUGAAUUCGGACACAGCUAAGCCUCAAAUUCGCAGAAAAGUAGGACGCAUUUGUCACCACAUUUUGAGUGCUCUUUGAAUUCGGACAGUCCUCGUCGUGUAGCUGUGACGUCAUUGCAUCCAAAUAUGGCAUUUUAAGCAUCCUUCCCCUGAAUUCGGACACAGCCAGGGUCUGCACGCUUGAAGUACGCAUUUCAAGUGCGAUUACGUCACCGCCACGCGACGACGGCUGUCCCAAUUCAAAGUGCACUUCAAAUGCAUACUCCAAAUGCGCCGUCGAUUUCCCCAAAUAUCAAGCGUGGUCCGGUGCACGCUUCGUGGCCCCAUAUAUCCCACAAUCCAUACCGCGGCGGUGGGUGUGAAUAAUUUUGCCGCAAAAUACGGCAGAAGGGAGCGGCCGAAGAGUGAACUGUCAAAACUUAUCACACAUUUGAUUUCCAUGUGUGACAACUGCAAGUGUCCAGAGUGAGGACAGACUGAGGGACCCACUGCUGCACAUCAUCUGUGAGGCUUUGCACCCCUGAUGAUCCACCAGGACAAACUCAGCAGUGUGUGAGGAAGAGGAGGAGGAAGAGCCAGCAGCAGCUGACAGAUGGAGAGAAUAGACAGACUGUUCCCUGUUUGUGAAGGACUGCUAGGAAAGUUUAACAUAACUAAUUGUCUGUCCUGAAUCAGUCUUAUUAGGUAAUGUUCAAAUAAUGUUAUCAUCCCAGUGUUUUCAGUGUGGGAGAAAGUACUCAGGGCCUUCAAGUUACACACUAUGAAAGGCAGCAACAAGUUUAAUAUUCAGAAACCUAAAGUAUGUAUCAG